GGGAAAUACCAAAGCCACCCCAGGGCACGGCGUCCGACGGCUUGGCGGCACUGUGCGCAGAAUUGGCACAGGAGAUGCUGCUUGCAGGAAUACUGUGACUCCUUGUUUCCAAGCAUGACUCUGGAGGAAGGGGAAAUCAGGAUUAGGGACAUGCUGGUUCCCCUUUGGAAUCGAUUUGAACAUGAAUCCACUCAAGUCCUAAGGAUUCCCAUCCAUCUAUACACAGCCACACCCCCACCAUCUACGCUCACAAGGGGAAACACAGAGAGAAGGGGAAUGGACGUGAACCCCUUCCUGGCUUGGGCGUGUACAUGGGACCAGGGAUUUCAACAGUGCCCUAGAAUCUUUUAAUGCAUGCAGUGCUUCGUCUGCCUUCGAAGCGAGUAAGACACAGCCUUGAAGGGGAGAGUUCCAAUGGUCUGUUGUACUUCCGCGGGAAUCCCUGGUGACUGGAAAUAAGGGAGAUUGAAGUGUCUCUACGUAAAAGGAUAAAUGGACACGACACAAAUCAGACCAUCAGGAGUGGUAACAUACAAAAGCCGGUAGGAGAACACUUACAAGACCCAUUUUGCAUGAAGUACAUAUGUUAUCAUAAGCAUAUUUUCAUAAAGAAUAUAGAGUGACACAUCACAAUCACCUCUUAAAAUUGGGCCCCAGGUGUUUCAGGCUGA